rnacentral:rRNA from 1 species
GGAUCAGUUGGUCGGUCGUGCCUCGGUACGCACUGGUCAAAUUGAUUCCUAUCUUCUGACGAACCACGAUGUCAUUAAUUUGGUGUCUUGGGGAAUCAGGACUGUUACUUUGAAAAAAUUAGAGUGUUUAAAGCAGGCUUUAGCUUGAAUACAUUAGCAUGGAAUAAUGAAAUAGGACGUUUGAUCCUAUUUUGUUGGUUUCUAGGAUUGACGUA